AACAACCCUGUUAUUGUCAAAUGGGAUGACAUCAGUAUAACGAUUCUUGCUGAUGUUUGUGCUGUCCAAAGCCACCAAGCAUCUACUCUUCAUUUCUGAAGCUUUCAGCCUAUUUUCCUGCAAAGUGGAGAACUCUGAGGCAAUUUUGUCCGGAGAGUGACACCUUUUCUGCUUAAAUGCUUUAAGUGCUUCCAAACAGUGACUACGCUGAUCAGGCGACAGUACGAUUCUCUGUAGAACUGAAUCAGCAGAGAAAUCCAAAGAUUUAUUAGCAGUACCAGGAGCAACAGGUGGCGGCUCUGUGAAAGUGACAGCGGAGGAUAACGGAUUACCGGCGGCAGCCAUGGCCGAUCUCCGGCUCCGACUCCGAACUGAUACGGCGCUACCCGUGGUUUCGACUUUUUUUGUUCUUUUUUUUUUCCUUUUUGGUUCACGAGUGUGCUGCUGUCCCG
rnacentral:misc_RNA from 1 species